rnacentral:rRNA from 1 species
GACAGAGGGUGCAAGCGUUGUUCGGAAUCAUUGGGCGUAAAGGGCGCGUAGGCGGUUUUGUAAGUCGGAUGUGAAAGCCCAGGGCUCAACCUUGGAAGUGCAUCCGAAACUGCGAAACUUGAAUCCUGGAGAGGGUGGUGGAAUUCCCAGUGUAGAGGUGAAAUUCGUAGAUAUUGGGAGGAACACCGGUGGCGAAGGCGACCACCUGGACAGAGAUUGACGCUGAGGCGCGAGAGCGUGGGGAGCAAACAGG